UACGGAGGUGGCAAGCGUUGCUCGGAAUCACUGGGCGUAAAGGGCGCGUAGGCGGGGAGGUAAGUCGGGUGUGAAAUCCCUCGGCCCAACCGAGGAACUGCGCCCGAGACUGCUUCUCUUGAGUCCCGGAGAGGAAGAUGGAAUUCCCGGUGUAGCGGUGAAAUGCGUAGAUAUCAGGAGGAACACCGGUGGCGAAAGCGCUCAUCUGGCCCAAUACUGACGCUGAGGCGCGAAAGCUAGGGGAGCAAACGGG
rnacentral:rRNA from 1 species